rnacentral:rRNA from 1 species
GACGAACGCUGGCGGCGUGCUUAACACAUGCAAGUCGAACGGUAAGGCCCUUCGGGGUACACGAGUGGCGAACGGGUGAGUAACACGUGGGUGAUCUGCCCUGCACUUCGGGAUAAGCCUGGGAAACUGGGUCUAAUACCGGAUAGGACUCCGGACUGCAUGGUCUGGGGUGGAAAGCUUUUGCGGUGUGGGAUGGGCCCGCGGCCUAUCAGCUUGUUGGUGGGGUGAUGGCCUACCAAGGCGACGACGGGUAGCCGGCCUGAGAGGGUGACCGGCCACACUGGGACUGAGAUACGGCCCAGACUACUACGGGAGGCAGCAGUGGGGAAUAUUGCACAAUGGGCGCAAGCCUGAUGCAGCGACGCCGCGUGAGGGAUGACGGCCUUCGGGUUGUAAACCUCUUUCAGCAUCGACGAAGCGAAAGUGACGGUAGGUGCAGAAGGAGGACCGGCCAACUACGUGCCAGCAGCCGCGGUAA